rnacentral:rRNA from 1 species
GACGAACGCUGGCGGCGUGCUUAAUACAUGCAAGUCGAACGAAGAGCGAUGGAAGCUUGCUUCUAUCAAUCUUAGUGGCGAACGGGUGAGUAACGCGUAAUCAACCUGCCCUUCAGAGGGGGACAACAGUUGGAAACGACUGCUAAUACCGCAUACGAUCUAAUCUCGGCAUCGAGGAUAGAUGAAAGGUGGCCUCUACAUGUAAGCUAUCACUGAAGGAGGGGAUUGCGUCUGAUUAGCUAGUUGGAGGGGUAACGGCCCACCAAGGCGAUGAUCAGUAGCCGGUCUGAGAGGAUGAACGGCCACAUUGGGACUGAGACACGGCCCAGACUCCUACGGGAGGCAGCAGUGGGGAAUCUUCCGCAAUGGACGAAAGUCUGACGGAGCAACGCCGCGUGAGUGAUGACGGCCUUCGGGUUGUAAAGCUCUGUUAAUCGGGACGAAAGGCCUUCUUGCGAACAGUUAGAAGGAUUGACGGUACCGGAAUAGAAAGCCACGGCUAACUACGUG